GGGACCUAAGGCGAGGCCGAGAGGCGUAGCCGAUGGACAACAGGUUGAGAUUCCUGUACUGCUGUAUAUCAGAACUGUGGGGACACAGAGGGAAAGCACAGGCGCGGAACGGAAAGCCGCGUGCAAGCGAGGUACCGGACUGGUAGGAAAAACCGCCAGUCAACGGGAAGGCGUGAUGCGUACCGAAAUCAAGUAGGGAAGUGUGUGAGCCAGCUGUCAAGAAAAGCCGCUAUUGCGUAUACAGUACCCGUACCGUAAACCGACACAGGUGGAUGAGGAGAGAAUCCUAAGGCCGGCGGAAGAAGUAUUGUCAAGGAACUCGGCAAAAUGACCCUGUAACUUCGGGAGAAAGGGUGCCUCGAAAGAGGCCGCAGAGAAUUGGGCCAAGCAACUGUUUAGCAAAAACACAGGUCUAUGCGAAACCGAAAGGUGAGGUAUAUGGGCUGACGCCUGCCCGGUGCUGGAAGGUUAAGGGGAGAUGUUAGAGCAAUCGAAGCAUUGAACUUAAGCCCCAGUAAACGGCGGCCGUAACAAUAACGGUCCUAAGGUAGCGAAAUUCCUUGUCGGGUAAGUUCCGACCCGCACGAAAGGCGUAAUGAUUUGGGCGCUGUCUCGACAAUACAUCCGGUGAAAUUGAAGUACCAGUGAAGAUGCUGGUUACCCGCGCCAGGACGGAAAGACCCCAUGGAGCUUUACUCCAGCUUGAUACUGGGAUUCGGUAUUGCAUGUACAGGAUAGGUGGGAGGCUAAGAAGCAUGGACGCCAGUCUAUGUGGAGCCGCUGUUGGGAUACCACCCUUGCGGUAUUGGAUUUCUAACCAGCCGCCGUGAAACCGGCGGUGGGACAAUGUCAGGCGGGGAGUUUGACUGGGGCGGUCGCCUCCGAAAGGGUAUCGGAGGCGCCCAAAGGUUCCCUCAGAAUGGUUGGAAACCAUUCGAAGAGUGCAAAGGCAGAAGGGAGCUUGACUGUGACACCGACGGGUGGAGCAGGUACGAAAGUAGGGCUUAGUGAUCCGGUGGUAUUAAGUGGGAAUGCCAUCGCUCAACGGAUAAAAGCUACCCUGGGAUAACAGGCUUAUCACUCCCAAGAGUUCACAUCGACGGAGUGGUCUGGCACCUCGAUGUCGGCUCAUCGCAUCCUGGGGCUGUAGUAGGUCCCAAGGGUUGGGCUGUUCGCCCAUUAAAGCGGUACGCGAGCUGGGUUCAGAACGUCGUGAGACAGUUCGGUCCCUAUCCGGCGUGGGCGCAGGAUAUUUGAGAGGAGCUGUCCUUAGUACGAGAGGACCGGGAUGGACUGACCUCUGGUGCACCGGUUGUUCCGCCAGGAGCAUAGCCGGGUAGCCAAGUCGGGAAGGGAUAAACGCUGAAGGCAUCUAAGCGUGAAGCCCCCCUCAAGAUGAGAUAUCCCAUGCGAAAGCGAUAAGACCCCUUGAAGACGACGAGGUAGAUAGGUCAGAGGUGGAAGCACAGCAAUGUGUGGAGCUGACUGAUACUAAUAGGUCGAAGGCUUAACCGA
rnacentral:rRNA from 1 species